CCAAGCUUGGGCAGGAAGAGGGAAGGAAAGAGAAACUUUACGCCAAUCCCCCCCCUCCUCUGCUAACUUCCCCUCCCACCCUCGGGCCCUAACUAGCCCCGGGGACGCCUCCUCCCCACCAACGCAUCCAUCCCCAGAGGAACAAGCGAGGAUCUCAGAGCGCGACCUGGACAGGCUCUCACAAAAGUCACCGCGUUUGUGUAGGUAACUAAGGCCUACCGAAACCAGUCAGCCCUAAGUGCACACAGGAGAACCAUGGAGUUGGAGGAAAAGGUCCCAUACAGAGAGAAGAAACAGACAACCUGAAUCACAUUCAAAAGAGAGUCUCCACAAUAGUGAGGGCUGCAAAACCAGGUGACAUGAAAACCAAGAGAAUGAAUUACAUAGAUUUGUUUAACCUAAGGAAGAAAAGAUUCUGGACACGUGAGGGCCGAUUUUCAUUCCUCAGAGCUCUCUCCUUUGGAGGCUUCUUUGUUUGGGCCCCACUUCCAUUCUUCACAUUCAGCAGUUACUGGGAGACGACCUUACCAUGGCCUGUCCCUCCGUGUUCAUCCCAAUCGCAUCCAGAUGCCUCUCUGGCCUCAUCUCCUAGUGUUCCUGUGUCCGGAAUUGGUGGGUUCUUGGUCUCGCUAACUUCAACAAUGAAGCCUCGGACCCUGGCGGUGAGUGUUACAGUUCUUAAAGGCAGCGUGUCCGGAGUUUGUUCCUUCUGAUGUUUGGAUGUGUUCGGAGUUUCUUCCUUCUGGUGGGUUCAUGGUCUCCUU
rnacentral:lncRNA from 1 species